UACGUAGGGGGCAAGCGUUGUCCGGAUUUAUUGGGCGUAAAGAGCGUGUAGGCGGCUAGGUAGGUCCGUUGUGAAAACUCGAGGCUCAACCUCGAGACGCCGAUGGAAACCAUCUAGCUAGAGUCCGGAAGAGGAGAGUGGAAUUCCUGGUGUAGCGGUGAAAUGCGCAGAUAUCAGGAGGAACACCGAUGGCGAAGGCAGAUCUCUGGGCCGUAACUGACGCUGAGGAGCGAAAGCGUGGGGAGCGAACAGG
rnacentral:rRNA from 1 species